rnacentral:rRNA from 1 species
UUGGAGGGCAAGUCUGGUGCCAGCAGCCGCGGUAAUUCCAGCUCCAAUAGCGUAUAUGUAAAGUUGUUGCAGUUAAAAAGCUCGUAGUUGAAUUUCGGGAUCGACGGGUCGGUCGCGCCUCUGGUGUGUACUGGCCCUGUCGGUUUCCCCCUUCUGACGAACCACGAUGUCAUUAAUUUGGUGUCGUGGGAAAUCAGGACUGUUACUUUGAAAAAAUUAGAGUGCUUAAAGCAGGCAUUCGCUUGAAUACAUUAGCAUGGAAUAAUGAAAUAGGACGUUUGAUCUUAUUUUGUUGGUUUCUAAGAUCGACGUGAUGAUUAAUAGGGAUAGUUGGGGGCAUUAGUAUUCAAUUGUCAGAGGUGAAAUUCUUGGAUUUAUUGAAGACUAACUACUGCGAAAGCAUUUGCCAAGGAUGUUUUCAUUAAUCAAGAACGAAAGUUAGGGGAUCGAAGACGAUCAGAUACCGUCGUAGUCUUAACCAUAAACUAUGCCGACUAGGGAUCGGAUGAUGUUAAUUUUUUAAUGACUCAUUCGGCGCCUUACGGGAAACCAAAGUGUUUGGGU